GGAUGCAAUCAUACCAGCACUAAUGCACCGGAUCCCAUCAGAACUCCGAAGUUAAGCGUGCUUGGGCGAGAGUAGUACUAGGAUGGGUGACCCCUUUGGAAGUCCUCGUGUUGCAUCCC
rfam:Ipomoea nil DNA, scaffold: scaffold2742, cultivar: Tokyo-kokei standard.